rnacentral:tRNA from 1 species
AGGGCCUUAUCUUAAUUAAAGUGUCUGAUUUGCAGUCAGAGGAUGCGAGUUAAGGUCUCGCAGGUCUUA